rnacentral:lncRNA from 1 species
GCCUUUUGUUAUUUGCACUCGCAUUGUGUUGUUUGUCUCUGAAGCCGCCUCAUGACCAGCAAAGGGAUUUCACCUCGUCCUUGAGAGCAACACGGGGAGCGCGAGCGAGCGGGCGAGCGAGAGACGGGGGGAGAGAGAGGGACACGCGCGCGCACACACACACACACCGGCACACACGCACACACACAGACACACACACACAGAGUGAAAAAGGCGAGCCACCAAAACCCAUCUCCAGUCUCCUCCCGGGGGCCCCCAGCCCGCCUCUGUGCCACUUUGCAUCCCACGCCGGAGGAGGCAUUAACGAGACCGGGUAAGGCUUUUUAAACGGUCCAAGGUGUAGAGCCAUACUUCAGGAGGAUCCUCAGAAGUUUUGGACAAGCCUCCCCAAAUGUGGCAGGUGCUGUGCUGGCCAUUGGUGACCCAAAGAUGAUGAAAAAUAUGUUCCUGCCCACAAGGAGUUAGCGACCUACUGGGCUUUCCUCUUGCUGAUGACAUGAUUCCUGUUUGAAUCUGUUGACAAGAUUCUGAAAGCUGAACAGAGAAUUCUGGCACUGCACUGGGUAGGAAAAAGCAUUUCAAGAAAUAGAUAAUAUCAAGGACAUCAGGACACCGGGAGUGGGAGAGAUUGGACUGGGAGACUCAGCAGGACUAUCUUCCCUCUGCUUUUCACUUGGAAGUAAACCUGUCUUGUUCUCCACUUCAUCCCUAACACACUAUUUAAAGUGCUUUCUAAUAGCAUGUGUUGAAUAAAUUUGGCGUGAAGAGCUGUAGCCAAAUGAAUACGAUGUGAAAUCCAAUGCCAUAAAGGCUGCAAAAGAUCUACAAGGUGACAGUGUAUAAGGCUUCAUAGAAAAGAGAAAGUUCCAUAGACAAGGCAGUAUUUGAGCUGGGCUUUAAAGGAUGCAUAUGAUUUUGCCCAGCAGAGAUGUUGGACAGUGGGAAGAUUGCCAAGGAUAUAUUUAAAGCUCUGGUGUCUUAUGUUCCUCUUGGGCUUGAGUUUGGAUGCAACACAGGGGAUACAAAAGGAAAAUAGUGACUAUAAAGGUAAGUUGGGUUCAAAUAAUAAGAAGACUUUGAAUCUUAUGCUAAGUGGUUUGUCCUAACUCCACAGGACUUGGGGAGUCAUUAAAACUUUUUGUUUGUCUUGGGAAAGUAGGGUGAUGAUUAGGGCUGUGCCUUGGAUUAAUUAAUUCUUAUGAUGUCACUCUGAGGCUGACUGAUUUAUAAACUGUAUGGCUAUAAGAAGGAAGAUAGAAUACUAAUGCAAUCAUGAAGUAAGAGUUCAGGAAAGUCAGGCGUGAGUGGUAACACCAGGGUGCAGAUACAAGCAGAAAUCUGAAGAUGGAAUCCAUAGGGUUUGAUGUCCUCCUAGAGUGCUAAGGGAUCAAUUUCAACUUUGAAUAAUGGAAAUAAAGGCCUUGCAAUUCACAGAUAUAGGAAAUCACAAAAAGCAGUUUGUUUUUACUGAUUUAUUCUUUUUUAAAAAUUUUUGUCAGAGGGCAUGAAUUGUUUUGAGAGUCUUUAUAUUUGAGUUACCAAUACUGAUAUAUUGAGGAAGUAAGUAUUCCACAUUGGAGAUUCUGGAACAUGGCACGAGAGUUGACGAUGCAGCUAUAUGAAUUUAAACUUGAUGCUGAAAGUUGCCUCCUUAGUGGAAGAAGGGCAAUCUAGACUGAGGGGAUAGCCUGCAAGACGAGGGUGCUGAAUGCCAUGUAGAAUUUUGAAGAUCGCAUGGAAUAGUGGAAAUAGAAGAAACUCUCAAGUUUGAGUUGUAGCUUUGCUGCUUUACAAACUAUAUGGUCUUGAAGUAGCAUUUGGUUUGUUUAUUCAUUUAUUUAUCUUUAAUAUCUGCCCAGGG